rnacentral:lncRNA from 1 species
UGGAUAAGUUUCGACUGUGCAACCUAUCAAGGUCUUUACAUCUGAUGGAUAGAGAUAUAUCCCAGGUCACGCUAUCCAAUCUGCCACUUCAAUUUUCUGUCAUGCCACUUGGGAUGUCGACAGGAUGGCUCCUGGUUGUAAUUUUUAUACAAUUAUUAGACCAUGCAAUUAUGGGGCCUUUACAUUUGGUCCAAACCAACCCGUUAACAUACCCAAAUCCCAU